GACGAACGCUGGCGGCGUGCUUAACACAUGCAAGUCGAACGGAAAGGCCCUGCUUUUGUGGGGUGCUCGAGUGGCGAACGGGUGAGUAACACGUGAGUAACCUGCCCUUGACUUUGGGAUAACUUCAGGAAACUGGGGCUAAUACCGGAUAGGAGCUCCUGCUGCAUGGUGGGGGUUGGAAAGUUUCGGCGGUUGGGGAUGGACUCGCGGCUUAUCAGCUUGUUCGUGGGGUAGUGGCUUACCAAGGCUUUGACGGGUAGCCGGCCUGAGAGGGUGACCGGCCACAUUGGGACUGAGAUACGGCCCAGACUCCAACGGGAGGCAGCAGUGGGGAAUAUUGCACAAUGGGCGGAAGCCUGAUGCAGCAACGCCGCGUGCGGGAUGACGGCCUUCGGGUUGUAAACCGCUUUCGCCUGUGACGAAGCGUGAGUGACGGUAAUGGGUAAAGAAGCACCGGCUAACUACGUG
rnacentral:rRNA from 1 species